rnacentral:rRNA from 1 species
CCUACGGGUGGCAGCAGUGAGGAAUAUUGGUCAAUGGGCGGAAGCCUGAACCAGCCAAGUCGCGUGAGGGAAUAAGGCCCUACGGGUCGUAAACCUCUUUUGCCGGGGAGCAAGGGCGGGGACGUGUCCCGUCCCGGAGAGUACCCGGAGAAAAAGCAUCGGCUAACCCCGUGCCAGCAGCCGCGGUAAUACGGAGGAUGCGAGCGUUAUCCGGCUUUAUUGGGUUAAAAGGGUGCGUAGGCAGGCUUUUAAGUCAGGGGUAAAAAUUCGGGGCUCAACCCCGUCCGGCCGUUGAAACUGGGGGCCUUGAGUGGGCGAGAAGAAGGCGGAAUGCGUGGUGUAGCGGUGAAAUGCAUAGAUAUCACGCAGAACCCUGAUUGCGAAGGCAGCCUUCCGGCGCCCUACUGACGCUGAGGCACGAAAGUGCGGGGAUCGAACAGGAUUAGAUACCCCUGUAGUC